rnacentral:tmRNA from 1 species
GGGGAUGAUCGGUUUCGACAGCGAAUGUCGUACCAGGGGAAGCGAGCCGAGGAACGCGGCAAUGAUCUCGUUAACCAUGUGCCGCAAAAAAAUAAUCGCCAACCAGAAGCGCGAUUCGUUCGCGCUCGCUGCCUGAGCAGCGAGCAUGAACUGUCAGCCCGGGAAAGUUCCCGGCCCGGUGUCUGGCAUCAUUCAGGGAACUCCACCGUAACUCCCGGUCACGGGGGGUUGCGGGAAACCACACAGUGACUGAGCCCGUCGGAGACUUGUCCGCGUGAUCUCCGGGGCCGAGAAAAGCGAAGCGGACUGCGCUCGGAGAAGCCCUGUUUCGGGUUCGUUGGACGCGGGUUCGAUUCCCGCCAUCUCCACCU